rnacentral:lncRNA from 1 species
AAAUAGACUGUAAUAGGCAUCUCCUUUGUUAUGCUGUUAAAAAAAAAAAAAAAAAAAAAAAAAAAAAAAAAAAAACGCUCUAAUUUUUGUAACAAAUCUAAUGUUCGUCAAUUUUUUAAUCUUGAAUGGAUUUUUUGAAAACGACACAAAUUGAUGUAAUAACGGUGCUUACGGUUGAUUUUUGACUCCUAGUUUUACAGUGUUUAGAAUCUCUUUCUAUACCAGAGGUGAGAUAAAUGUGCACAUACAUGUCGCUUCAUAGCACCCCUUGGUGACUAACAGCAAAAAUGUCGACAAAAUAGCAUCACGAUUCUGUCCAUGUUGAUCAUUUUAGCAAAAUGGGCGCCCUCUGCACCGUUGAAUAAGAGAAUGAAAAAUGAGAAUGAAUGAGUGAAAUGAAUCAAUUUGUAAAUUUUUAACGAGUCGUCAGCCAUUAUAUUCUAAAAUUGAAUUCAUCCUUAAAAAUAUUACCCUCUUCCUCGGAUCUUUAUAAUAUUGUUUUUUAAAUUCUAGAAUAAUUCAGAUGAUCAAGAACCAUCGCAGCACGUCUCACUGUUAACUCGGUCGCUUACAAUGGUGCUACAGCUCAUCGAGUAAAGCACGAUGAAUUGGAUUUUGAACUCGAACCAAACGCAUAUGAACAGAUCAGAAUAACUGUAGAGCCUGAAGAAUAUAUUCAUAAACUGACGGAUCACAGCCUGAUCAAGCUGAUCGCAGUUGCCAGUGUCAUCGAAACUAAACAAACUUGGACUGAAGAGGAUGAUUUCCCUCUCAUUAAACCAAACCUGAAUAUUGAUAUUGAGGGAUCGUUGAAAUUGGUCAACCGUCAAGUGCAUCGUUUACCUUCCAAAAUCCAUUGAACUAUCACCUGGAUAGUUGCUAUGUAGUUGUUGAGGGACCUGGACUUCAACGACCGAAAACUCUCGCAUUCAGGUAUGCAGUUACGAAUGAGUCCCUAUUUUAACCGAACUAUGAGGAUUUUCAACGCCCAGGACGAGCUGAAAGUACACAGCGUAUUUUCUCGGUGAAAGCAUAAGCCACUCCAAAAA